rnacentral:rRNA from 1 species
GAUGAACGCUGGCGGCGUGCCUAAUACAUGCAAGUCGAGCGAACAGACGAGGAGCUUGCUCCUCUGACGUUAGCGGCGGACGGGUGAGUAACACGUGGAUAACCUACCUAUAAGACUGGGAUAACUUCGGGAAACCGGAGCUAAUACCGUAUAAUAUAUUGAACCGCAUGGUUCAAUAGUGAAAGACGGUUUUGCUGUCACUUAUAGAUGGAUCCGCGCCGCAUUAGCUAGUUGGUAAGGUAACGGCUUACCAAGGCAACGAUGCGUAGCCGACCUGAGAGGGUGAUCGGCCACACUGGAACUGAGACACGGUCCAGACUCCUACGGGAGGCAGCAGUAGGGAAUCUUCCGCAAUGGGCGAAAGCCUGACGGAGCAACGCCGCGUGAGUGAUGAAGGUCUUCGGAUCGUAAAACUCUGUUAUUAGGGAAGAGCAAAUGUGUAAGUAACUAUGCACGUCUUGACGGUACCUAAUCAGAAAGCCACGGCUAACUACGUG